rnacentral:rRNA from 1 species
AGAGUUUGAUCCUGGCUCAGGACGAACGCUGGCGGCGUGCUUAACACAUGCAAGUCGAGCGGUAAGGCCCUUCGGGGUACACGAGCGGCGAACGGGUGAGUAACACGUGGGUGAUCUGCCCUGUACUUCGGGAUAAGCCUGGGAAACUGGGUCUAAUACCGGAUAUGACCUUCGGUUGCAUGACCGUGGGUGGAAAGAUUUAUCGGUACAGGAUGGGCCCGCGGCCUAUCAGCUUGUUGUGGGGUAAUGGCCUACCAAGGCGACGACGGGUAGCCGGCCUGAGAGGGCGACCGGCCACACUGGGACUGAGACACGGCCCAGACUCCUACGGGAGGCAGCAGUGGGGAAUAUUGCACAAUGGGCGAAAGCCUGAUGCAGCGACGCCGCGUGAGGGAUGACGGCCUUCGGGUUGUAAACCUCUUUCGACAGGGACGAAGCGCAAGUGGCGGUACCUGUAGAAGAAGCACCGGCCAACUACGUG